CUGGUUUACACAGGAGGCAUAUUUACGUUUUUUCAGCGCUCCUGUUUGUUGUUUUUUCCCACAAAGUGCCUUGGAAACAUUGUCUGACUACGUCGGAGCUUAUCGUUAUGUUUGAAUGAAGGUCUCUGCAUCCAUUUGACCACGCCCUCACUUUAUGACAUCGUCAAUGAAACAGAUGGCGAUCAUUCCUGUUCAACUGGGGGUGAUGGUGCUCAACCUCGCUAGAUGAAGCCCCGUGAUCCAGAUGGGAAGAAACGCAGCCCUUGGCUUAACAAAUCCUCCUUUGUUUCUGGUUCUGAUUGUUGGAAGACAGGAUUGUGUCGAUCUCUGUUUGACGGGUACAUGGAUGUGGACUGAUGCUGACUCGCGGGGUGGGCUGCUACCAGACAUGCUGACACACAAGGUCGCUACCCCAACAACUGGCCGACUCGCAGCACCUCGGAAUACCCUGCAGCACCAAGCUACCACAGUAGACGCAGGGACCAGACCCAGCAGGCCCCAACCAAGACGGGCACCCGGAAGGGAUGGACGGUGGGACCCAGGAGCUCCAGACACGCAGUCCUGAUGCAGUAGCCUGAGGCGCCGACCCCCACCCGACAGGCAGGCCCAGAACGUACCCCCAGAAAUAUACAUACAUAUAUAUAUAUAUAUACAUACACAUAAACAUACACAUGUACACAUACACACACAUACACAUGCAUACACAUACACAUAUAUAUACA